GUCUCCUCUCUCCAUCCCUCGCUCCAAGCGCCGGUCUGAUCCUCGGCUCUAAGAUCUCCGGGAAUUUGCGUGUCUGCAGGUUUUCACGGACUUCGAUGAGAUCCGCCAGGAGAUUGAGAGUGAGACGGAGCGGGUGACUGGAGUCAAUAAGGUACGGAGCCUGGGUUCACGCUGGUGAAUAUCUCCGUGUGCCAACACUCAGCCCCGUGCCCAGUGCCCCCGAGCGCCUGCGAUACACCGAAAGGCCAGAACGUGGACGCGGGAGUGUGCCAGGGGAUCAGUUCAGAACCCAUCCACCUGAAGAUUUAUUCGCCCAGUGUCCUCAACCUGACCCUCAUCGACCUGCCUGGUCUGACCAAGGUGCCAGUGGGAGACCAGCCCGCCGAUAUCGAGCAGCAGGUCCGGGAGAUGCUGGCAUUGUAUAUCAGUCACCCCAACUCCCUGAUCCUGGCAGUCACUGCUGCCAAUACAGACCUAGCAACGUCCGAGGCUCUGAAACUGGCUCGGGACGUCGACCCUGACGGUAGGCUGGUCUACCGGGGUGGGCGUCGCAAACCCGAGCGGUAGCUGGGUGGGCCCUCGUCAUAACGGAGUCGCACAGCAAGGAAACAGACACCCUUUGGCCCAACCACAGUCCAUGCCAACCCCAAUCCCAAACCAAACACGUCCCCCACCUGCCCUUGCUCCUGGCCCUUAUCCCUUCCCUAUUCAUGGAUUUAUCCAAAUGUCUGGAAGUUCAUUCCACACUCGGACCACCCUCGGUGUCAAAAAGAUUUGCCCCUUGUGUCUUGGUUGAAUCUUCCUCCCCUCACCUUAAAAAUGUGCCCCCUGGGUUUGAAAUCGCCCACCCCAGGGGGAAAGGACACCUCCCGUUUCCCCUAUCCAUUCCCCCUCAGCCUCCGGCGCUCCAGGGAAAACCCUCCCAGCCUCUCCUGAU